GAUAAAUAAACCAUUUCUAUGAGCAGUGAGACAAUGUAAGAUGUUUCAAUUAAAUAUACUAUAUGCCUUUAAAAUGAACUGUAUCUCCUUUUUUUGUGUGGCAAAUUCAGAUUUAAAUAUAGAGUUCAAUUCUUUCACAUGUCUUUAUACAUGUAUAUAGAAAUAUUCUAUGAUAACCUUUCCGCACAAACCCUUUAUUUGCUUUAAAACCCUCCGCUAGAAAAGUGGGUAGUAUAUAUAGUACUUGUUGGUAUCUAUGGUCCUCCUUCAAUUAGUUCCAGAUGUGUAUUUUCAAUAUCUAAACCUACAUUGUAUUAAAAAAACUAAAGCUUAACAAAAUGGAAAUGCCCUGGUGUGCUUUAUAUAUUUUACAUCUUAAUGUUAUUGUCUUUUGAGUUUGUCAGGGAUAAAUAUGGAUAUUAAAACUUUGGACCAUGUUUGUGUCGAUUAUUGGGCAUGGCUUACAGUUUUUCUAGUUGUCAAAUGUCACAAUCAGUAUCAGUUUUGAUAUAUUGUAGAGUAUCAGUAUUGAUAUAUUAGUUUCAGUUUUGAUAUAUUGUAGAGUAUCAGUAUUGAUAUAUUAGUUUCAGUUUUGAUAUAUUGUAGAGUAUCAGUUCUGAGUAGAUACCAAAUUUGUCAAUAAGACAUAGAUUUCAACAGUCAAAGAAAAUUUCACAAAUUUUUCAAAUAUCUGUUAUAUUUCCAUAUUUUAUUUAGGAAUCAAUCAUAGAAAUGAUUAUGGAAAAGUUUCAUAUAACAUUUUUCUGCAAUUUUCCAUAAGUUUCCAAAGUUACCCAGUCUAGGAUACAAUUAUAUAUAUUAAAUAUUUAACUUUAUAUAAAUUGUUUGAGCUUGUGUCUGAAAAUGGAGUUAAAGAAAUAAAC
rnacentral:lncRNA from 1 species